rnacentral:rRNA from 1 species
AUGAUGUGCAUGCGCCGCCAUGUGCAUGUCGUCGCCUUCGCCUUGGCGGUUGCCGGCGUGCUGACGACCCUCGCGGCCGAUAAGCCGGUGGUGGUAUGCGGCACAGCUGGUAACUACACGGCCAACAGCGCAUAUCAGGGCAAUCUCCGGCUCGUCGCCGCGGGCCUACCCACCAACAUCUCCACGUCCCCUGGCCUCUUCGCCACCGCCGAAAACGGCGCCGAGCCGGACAGGGCGUACGCCGUCGGGAUAUGCCGCGGCGACCAGGACGCCUCCGCCUGCCAAGCCUGCAUCGCCCCCACCUUCAAGGACGCGCAGGACCUGUGCCCCUACAACAGGGGCGCCACCAUCUUCUACGACACCUGCCUCCUCAGCUUCUCCGACCGAGACCUGCUCCUCUCGCCCACCAAUUCCAACGACGAGGUGAUGCGGCUCUACAAUGCUGGGAACAUCACCUCUGACGUCGUCAGCCAGUUCAACGCCGCCGUCUACAAGCUCCUCGACGCCAUGGUCGAGUACGUGGAAACCAUAGACUCGGUGAGGAGGUUCGCAACCGGGACCAUCGGCUUCGACGCGACCUACCCCAUUAUCUACAGCAUGGUGUGGUGCACGCCCGACCUGACGCAUGGGCAGUGCCGUGCUUGCCUUAGCGCCACGGUUGCCCAGAUGCCCUACACCUUCAUCCCUAAUACGCAGGGCGCCACCAUCACUGGGCUGCGAUGCAGCGUGCGCUACGAGGUACACCCGUUCUACAAGGGCGUCACCAUGCUGCAGCUGACGGGCACCUCGCCUGGUAAGAAGAGUAAUGAAACCAGAAAAAUUCUUUCAAUCGUGCUACCUUCAGUGGCAGCUCUACUUGUAAGCAUUGUGGCGUGUCUUUGUUGCUGGAGGAGGAGAACAAGAAGUAAAAAGUUACUGGCAUAUGAAUCUCAUGUGGAGGGCAUUGAUAGCACUGAAUCACUUAUUAUUGAUCUACCAACAAUACGGAUUGCCACAGAUAACUUUGCCGAAGAUCAUAAGCUUGGUGAAGGAGGAUUUGGUGCAGUUUACAAGGGCUCCCUUCCUGAUGGUCAAGAUAUAGCUGUGAAACGCCUCUCUCGGUUUUCUCAACAAGGAAUAGGGGAACUAAAAAAUGAGCUAGUCUUAAUUUCCAAUCUGCAGCACAAAAACCUUGUGAGACUUAUUGGUGUCUGCUUGCAAGAGGAUGAGAAGCUUCUUGUCUACGAGUACAUGCCAAACAAAAGUCUGGACACGUUUCUUUUUGAUUCCGAGAAACGCAAAGAGUUACAUUGGGGGAGGAGACUCAUGAUAAUAGAUGGAAUUGCUCGUGGAUUGCAAUAUCUACAUGAAGAUUCUCUAUUGAAGAUAGUCCACCGGGAUCUAAAGGCAAGUAACAUUCUAUUGGAUGCAAACAUGAAUCCAAAAAUUUCAGACUUUGGCUUGGCAAAGCUUUUUGGAGGGGAUCAAUCACAAGACAUCACAAAUCGAGUUGUUGGAACAUAUGGAUACAUGGCACCAGAAUACGCUCUACGGGGGCGGUAUUCUAUAAAAUCAGACAUAUAUAGCUUUGGUGUGUUGAUUUUGGAGAUACUCACCGGAAGGAAAAAUAGUGACACCUACAAUUCUGACCAACUUAUUGAUCUGCCAAGUCUGGUAUGGGAAUACUGGACAAUGAAAUCAAUUAUGGAGAUGAUUGACCCUUACUUGAGAGGCGAUUCCUCGCAGGAAGAGAUUUUGAGGUGCGUUCACAUUGGACUAUCAUGCGUUCAGGAAGACCCUGCUGAGAGGCCAACUAUAUGGACGAUCAAUGUCAUGCUGGAUAGCAACACAAUCCCGUCCCACCCACCAUCCAAGCCAGCAUUCUACGUAGAAAUGGGUGCAAACUUUGUCUCAGAAGGUAUCAAUGAUUCAACGCCCAAGUCGAACGCGGCGUCACUGAAUGAGCUAUCAAUAACAGAUCCAGAACCAAGAUAA